UAGUGGCGAACGGGUGAGUAACACGUGGGCAAUCUGCCCUGCACUCUGGGACAAGCCCUGGAAACGGGGUCUAAUACCGGAUAACACUGCGGAUCGCAUGGUCUGUGGUUAAAAGCUCCGGCGGUGCAGGAUGAGCCCGCGGCCUAUCAGCUUGUUGGUGAGGUAGUGGCUCACCAAGGCGACGACGGGUAGCCGGCCUGAGAGGGCGACCGGCCACACUGGGACUGAGACACGGCCCAGACUCCUACGGGAGGCAGCAGUGGGGAAUAUUGCACAAUGGGCGAAAGCCUGAUGCAGCGACGCCGCGUGAGGGAUGACGGCCUUCGGGUUGUAAACCUCUUUCAGCAGGGAAGAAGCGAAAGUGACGGUACCUGCAGAAGAAGCGCCGGCUAACUACGUGCCAGCAGCCGCGGUAAUACGUAGGGCGCAAGCGUUGUCCGGAAUUAUUGGGCGUAAAGAGCUCGUAGGCGGCUUGUCACGUCGAUUGUGAAAGCCCGGGGCUUAACUCCGGGUCUGCAGUCGAUACGGGCUAGCUAGAGUGUGGUAGGGGAGAUCGGAAUUCCU
rnacentral:rRNA from 3 species